ACUAGCCUACAUACAGUGAAGUGUUUAACAACGAUAAGAUUCGUGAACAAAUCUGAGUCGGAGUUAUCAAUGAACUGGUUGAACCGUUCAUUAUCGGUCUGAAGGAUUCGUUAUUUCGUUUGCGAUUGGACUGAAUCCGGAGUGUGAGAAUCGGUCAGAGAAAGUAAAUCUUUUCGAAUCUGUCCUUCUAACGUUAGGUCUAUUCCGGGUUAAAUGGAUAAUUCAACCCAAAAAUAAAAAUUCUGUCAUCAUUUACUCCUCAAGUUGUUCCAAAGCUGUAUGAGUUUCUUUUUUUUCUGCUGAACACAAAAAGAAUGUAACCAGACAGUUCAGUUGACACUCUGUAGCCAUUAAAGGUUGUAUCAGCAAUUUCAGGCCCAAACAAAAAUUAUCUCAUUCAUCUAAUCUUUCCUAACGACCCGCUAGCUGCCUGCCGCAGGCUGACAAAAAAAAAAAAAAAAAAAAAAAAAAAAAAAAAACAGGCUCUGAGAUCUGCACACAAAAACAAAUGGGUACAACCACCACUCAAAAUCAAAAUAAACAGUGUUCUAACCAAUCACCAACAGGGGCGGGUUUUGUUUGUUUUUGCGCUAGUGCAUGGCGCCUGCACACAAGAAUAAGCCAGCGCUAUCAACCUUAUGCUAUCAAUGUACUAGAUACAUUUAACAUGGAAGAGGCAAUCCCCAAGAAGAGAAUGAGGUUUAGGGCGAGGAGAGGGAAUAAUAUCGUUAUUCGUUAAAGAAACGAAUAAUAAUCGGGAAGGCUUUUGAACGGUGGAGAGAACUCAAAGAAUUGAAAAAAAAAAUUUAAUCAGACAACGCAAGGUUACAAUGUUUCUUCUGGACAGCACAAUCCUUGUCAUUCCUCGCAAAAAUGAGUCCCUCCCUGAGUAACAUCAACCUCCCAGAGCUUGAGCCCUCGACAGUUCAGAAUGUAUCACGUUACAACUUAAAAGCUUGGAUUUUGGAGAAUGUGUCUAAAAAAGUAAAAUCAAUACACUCAAUAAAGAGAAGCUGAUAUGAUGUCAUGGCUAAUGCAGUCCUGAUAGCCUAACACACAGCUCUAUAGGAGAAUGACUGUUGAAUGCUUUUAAAGAACCUCAAGAGCUCCACUUCACACAGGCGCUUCCCUUAUCUCAUCUGUCAUCACUCUUCUAUACUGGACAGUUCAGAGACACAGGCACAGGAUUUCCCCACUAAUAGUUCCAGCAUGUGCACUGUUCAUCUGAGACAUCUCUGCAUGGUGUAAUGCUGUAAAUGGGGUUAUUAGUCAGUGCCCUUUCAUAGGCCGAAUGACAUGGCAAAAAACAACAACACACAAAACAUGUAGACACAGUAGUGGCUUAAAGUGAUUUUUGGAGGGGGAACAUUCGUUUUUAAUGACCCCACAUCUUUCAUAGUUCGUAUACAUAUAAAGUUGUGUUCAAUAUAAUCGCAGUGUGUUUAAAAAAACUGUUUAUUCAAGAUCAAAACAUGAAGAAAGAUUUGUUUUUACUUAAUAGAAAGUAAAGAAAAGGGAAUAUUAGGCUGUUCAAAGUCAAACAGUUACUGUAUAAACUGACAAAUGCGUGAAGAUUUAGCUUUCUUGUGAAUCACUGAACUAAUAUUUAGUUGUCUAACCACGGUUUUUGAGAACUGCUUUACAUCUGUGUUGCAUGGAGUCGACCAACUUCUGGCACCUGUGAACAGGUAUUCCAGCCCAGGACGAUCGCACUUCAGACCACAGUUCCUCUGCAUUUCUUGGUUUUGCCUCAAAAACAGCAUUUUUUAUGUCACCCCACAGGUUUUCUAUUGGAUUAAGGUCCAGGGAUUGAGCUGGCCACUCUAUAACGUUAAUCUUGUUGGUCUGGAACCAAGAUGCUGCUAGCUUUAGCUUACUGGUGUGUUUUGGGUCGUUGUCUUGUUGAAACACUCAUUUCAAGGGCAUUUCCUCUUCAGCAUAAUGCAACAUGACCUCUUUAAGUAUUUUGAUGUACUGUGAUCCAUAAUCCGUAGUAUGCGAUAAAUAGGCCCAACACCAUGGUAUGAGAAACAUCCCCAUAUCAUGAUGCUUAUGCCACCAUGCUUCACAGUCUUCACAGUGUACUAUGACUUGAAUUCAGUGUUGGGGUCUAGACCCAAAAAGAACAAUCUUGCUUUCACCAGUCCACAAAAUAUUACGGCAUUUCUCUUUAGGCCAGUCAAUGUGUUCUUUGGCAAAUUGUAUCCUCUUUUUUAACAAUGGGACUUUGCGGGGGCUUCUUGCUGAUAGCUUAGCUUCACAUAGGCAUCUUCUAAUUGUUGCUGUAGUUAUGGGUAACUUUAGAUCUUCUUUGAUCACACUGGAGCAUGUCUUUGCCAUUUUGGCUAUUCUUCGAUCCAUUUGAACCGUUUUCUUCCACGUCUUUCUGGUUUUGGUUGCCAUUUUAAAGCAUUUGAUACCAUUUUAGCUGAGCAGCCUAUCAUUUUCUGCACUUCUUUAUAAGUUUCCCCCUCUCCAAUCAACUUUUUAAUCCAAGUACGCUGCUCUUCUAAACAAUGUUUGGAAAGGCCCAUUUUAUUCAGAUCUUCAGAGAGAAAUGCACUAUAACCACCAUUUUACAGCCCAGUACUGCCUUCAUCCUUAAAUAAGGGCCACUUAUUGACAGUUUUUUCACAGAAUGAUUAACUUCACUAAUCAAACUCCACUCUGCUAUUAUUUUGAACACACCCCUUUCAAUUAAUUAUUCAAUUAUACAGAAUUAGCAAUAUACAUGCCAUGACUGUUACUCUACUACACUACUACUAAUAAAUUACUUGCCAUGUAGAAAUAUAAUUUCUACCAAAAAAUGUAUAUAUAUUGCUACAGGUUUUAUUACUGUGAAAAAAGAAACGCAUACACAACAUCUCACAGGAAAAAUUAUAUUACAGUGACUACAACUUAUUAAUAUUAUGUUGGUUUUCUCUUGUUAUUGCACGUGUUAAUAAUUUAUUUGUAUGACAGCCUGCCAUGCUUCAUUGCGUUAUCACAAAUAAAACAAUUGACUCCAAGCACAA